rfam:Ictidomys tridecemlineatus contig048797, whole genome shotgun sequence.
UAGGGUUUGGCUCAGUGGCAGAGCACUUGCCUAGCACGUGUGAGGCACUGGGUUGGAUUCUCAGAACCAUAU